AGAGAGAGACAUGCGCGCAUAUCAAUAAGCGGAGGAAAAGAAACUAACAAGGAUUCCCUUAGUAACGGCGAGUGAAGCGGGAAGAGCUCAAAUUUGAAAUCUUCAAGGUUUUACCUUGACGAAUUGUAGUUUAAAGAAGUGUUUUCUGCUGAAGUUUUGGUAAAAGUUCUUUGGAAUAGGACAUCAUAGAGGGUGAGAAUCCCGUAUUUGACCAUUAUUUUCAGCUUUGUGAUACACUUUCAAAGAGUCGGAUUGUUUGGGAAUGCAGUCCAAAAUGGGUGGUAAAUUUCAUCUAAAGCUAAAUAUUGGCGAGAGACCGAUAGCGAACAAGUACCGUGAGGGAAAGAUGAAAAGAACUUUGAAAAGAGAGUUAAACAGUACGUGAAAUUGUCAAAAGGGAAGCGUUUGACACCAGUGUUGUUUUCUCGAAAAUCAAUUAAAAAUGGCUCGAUUUUGUAUUGCUGAGACCUAAAAGCUCACUGUACAUUUUUCGUGUCUUUUUUAAUGCACUUUUCGUUUAACAAGUCAACAUCAGUUUCUUUUGUUGUAAAAGGGUCAUUGGAAGGUGGCUUUCUUUUCGGAGAAAGUGUUUAUAGCCUUUGGCCUCUGCAAUCGAAGAGACUGAGGUCUGCAGCGUAGACUCUUCGGGGUUAGAUACAUUUGUGCUAAGUUAUAGCUUUUUAUAGACAACUUGUUGACUAUAAUUAGUCUUGUAGCUUACUCGCUUAUGCUAUUUUACCUACGCUUAGGAUGUUGAAGAUGUAGCACAUCAU
rnacentral:rRNA from 1 species